AUCAACGCUGGCGGCGUGCCUAACACAUGCAAGUCGAACGCGAAAGUCCCGCAAGGGAUCGGUAGCGUGGCAAACGGGUGAGUAACGCGUGGGUGACCUGCCUUCGAGCGGGGGAUAACGUCCCGAAAGGGACGCUAAUACCGCAUGACAUCCUGCCGUUGAACCGGUGGCGAUCAGAGCUGGGGAUCGCAAGACCCAGCACUCGAAGAUGGCCCCGCGGCCUAUCAGCUAGUUGGUGAGGGUAACGGCCCACCAAGGCGAUGACGGGUAGCUGGUCUGAGAGGACGACCAGUCACACUGGAACUGAGACACGGUCCCGACACCUACGGGUGGCAGCAGUCGAGAAUUUUUCUCAAUGGGGGAAACCCUGAAGGAGCGGCGCCGCGUGGAGGAUGAAGGCUUUCGGGUUGUAAACUCCUGUCAUUUGAGAACAAUGCUACGGAUUAACUGGUACGUGCGUUGAUAGUACCAGAAGAGGAAGAGACGGCUAACUCUGUGCCAGCAGCCGCGGUAAUACAGAGGUCUCAAGCGUUGUUCGGAUUCAUUGGGCGUAAAGGGUGUGUAGGUGGCGUCGCUAAGUCGGGUGUGAAAUUUCGGAGCUUAACUCCGAAACUGCAUUCGAUACUGGCGUGCUUGAGGACUGGAGAGGAGACUGGAAUUUACGGUGUGUAGCAGUGAAAUGCGUAGAGAUCGUAAGGAAGACCAGUGGCGAAGGCGGGUCUCUGGACAGUUCCUGACACUGAGGACACGAAGGCCAGGGGAGCAAACGGGAUUAGAUACCCCGGUAGUCCUGGCAGUAAACGGUGCACGUUUGGUGUGGGAGGAUUCGACCCCUUCUGCGCCGGAGCUAACGCGUUAAACGUGCCGCCUGGGGAGUACGGUCGCAAGAUUAAAACUCAAAGAAAUUGACGGGGGGCCCGCACAAGCGGUGGAGUAUGUGGCUCAAUUCGAUGCAACGCGAAGAACCUUACCAGGCCUUGACAUGCAUCUGCUAAGUUGGUGAAAGCCAGUGAGUGUCUUGAAAGAGACAAUUUGCACAGGUGCUGCAUGGCUGUCGUCAGCUCGUGUCGUGAGAUGUUGGGUUAAGUCCCGCAACGAGCGCAACCCCUGUGAACUGUUGCCACGGAUCCUGAGGUUCCAGCACUCUGUUCAGACUGCCUCGCUUAAACGAGGAGGAAGGUGGGACGACGUCAAGUCAGUAUGGCCCUUACGGCCUGGGCUGCACACGUACUACAAUGCCCAGUACAGAACGAUCCGAUACCGCGAGGUGGAGGAAAUCUCUCAAAAACUGGGCCCAGUUCGGAUUGGAGGCUGCAAUUCGCCUCCAAGGAAGCCGGAAUCGCUAGUAAUGGCGCAUCAGCUACGGCGCCGUGAAUACGUUCCCGGGCCUUGUAACACACCGCCCGUCACAUCAUGAAAGCCGUUUGUACCCGAAGUCACCCCUUAAAAGGUGCCGAAGGUAUGGAUGGUGAUUGGGAUG
rnacentral:rRNA from 1 species